AUCACUUCUCAGCCUUUUGGCUAAGAUCAAGUGUAGUAUCUGUUCUUAACAGUUUAAUAUCCGAUAUGUCCUCUAUCUGAGGACAAUAUAUUAAAUGGAUUUUUGGAGCUAGGAGUUGGAAUAGGUGUUUGCUCCAUCCACUCCACGCAUCGACCUGGUAUUGCAGUACCUCCAGGCAUGGUACAUCCUAC
rnacentral:snRNA from 1 species